rnacentral:rRNA from 1 species
CCUACGUGCGGCAGCAGUGGGGAAUAUUGGACAAUGGGCGAAAGCCUGAUCCAGCCAUGCCGCGUGUGUGAAGAAGGCCUUCGGGUUGUAAAGCACUUUCAGUGGGGAAGAAAGCCUUGGGGCUAAUACCCUCGAGGAAGGACAUCACCCACAGAAGAAGCACCGGCUAACUCCGUGCCAGCAGCCGCGGUAAUACGGAGGGUGCGAGCGUUAAUCGGAAUUACUGGGCGUAAAGCGCGCGUAGGCGGUCUGAUAAGCCGGUUGUGAAAGCCCCGGGCUCAACCUGGGAACGGCAUCCGGAACUGUCAGGCUAGAGUGCAGGAGAGGAAGGUAGAAUUCCCGGUGUAGCGGUGAAAUGCGUAGAGAUCGGGAGGAAUACCAGUGGCGAAGGCGGCCUUCUGGACUGACACUGACGCUGAGGUGCGAAAGCGUGGGUAGCAAACAGGAUUAGAUACCUGGUAGUC